rnacentral:rRNA from 1 species
AUUGAACGCUGGCGGCAUGCCUUACACAUGCAAGUCGAACGGUAACAGGUCUUCGGAUGCUGACGAGUGGCGAACGGGUGAGUAAUACAUCGGAACGUGCCCGAUCGUGGGGGAUAACGAAGCGAAAGCUUUGCUAAUACCGCAUACGAUCUACGGAUGAAAGCAGGGGACCGCAAGGCCUUGCGCGAACGGAGCGGCCGAUGGCAGAUUAGGUAGUUGGUGGGAAAAAAGCUUACCAAGCCGACGAUCUGUAGCUGGUCUGAGAGGACGACCAGCCACACUGGGACUGAGACACGGCCCAGACUCCUACGGGAGGCAGCAGUGGGGAAUUUUGGACAAUGGGCGAAAGCCUGAUCCAGCCAUGCCGCGUGCAGGAUGAAGGCCUUCGGGUUGUAAACUGCUUUUGUACGGAACGAAAAGACUCUGGUUAAUACCUGGGGUCCAUGACGGUACCGUAAGAAUAAGCACCGGCUAACUACGUG